GCAGAAGAAACCAGUGGAAUGAGUGAGGCAGACCCUUUGCAUCCUAAAAAACACACUGGUAUUUAGUCAACAAAAGUUGCAAAUUAGAAGGAUAAGUAACAACAAAUGAAACACCAUCCAUAGUAGCAUGGUGAGGAUGAUUGUACUGCAAUUGGGAUAACUAAAUGCAAAACAAUGGAGUUUGGAAGUUCCCACAAAACUUAGUAGUCGACUGCU
rnacentral:misc_RNA from 1 species